rnacentral:rRNA from 1 species
GACGAACCGUGCAAACGUUAUUCGGGAUCACUGGGCAUAAAGGGCGCGUAGGCGGCUUCCUAAGUCAGGGGUGAAAUCCGGCAGCUCAACUGUCGCAGUGCCUUUGAUACUGGGAAGCUCGAGGGAUGUAGGGGUCUGUGGAACUUCCGGUGGAGCGGUGAAAUGCGUUGAUAUCGGAAGGAACGCCGGUGGCGAAAGCGACGGACUGGACAUCUUCUGACGCUGAGGCGCGAAAGCCAGGGGAGCAAACGGG